rnacentral:rRNA from 1 species
UACAGAGGUCUCAAGCGUUGUUCGGAUUCAUUGGGCGUAAAGGGUGCGUAGGCGGCGCGGUAAGUCGGGUGUGAAAUCUCGGAGCUUAACUCCGAAACUGCAUUCGAUACUGCCGUGCUUGAGGACUGGAGAGGAGACUGGAAUUUACGGUGUAGCGGUGAAAUGCGUAGAUAUCAGGAGGAACACCGGUGGCGAAGGCGGCUCUCUGGACCGUAACUGACGCUGAGGCGCGAAAGCGUGGGGAGCAAACAGG